rnacentral:lncRNA from 1 species
ACCAGUCAAAGCCUGGGUGACAUUUCUCUGGCAAAUCUGGCUCAGAAGUAGUUCAUAGCUAGUGCCUGGCAUAUAUUAGGAGCUUAAUAUAUGUUUUAAUCAGCACCUGUCAGGAAAUCCUAUGGGCUCAACCUUCAAAAUAUAUCUGGAAUCUGACACUUAGCAACUCCUUAACUAGUAUUAUCCUGGUCUGAUACACCAUUAUCUUUGACCUAGCUGCCUCUGCCAGUCUUCCACUGGUCUCUCUGCAUGUACUCCAAACCGCUACAGUUUAUUCUUAAUAUGGCAACUGACUUAGGCUAUUCCCUGUUACUAUAACAAAAUUCCUGAGUAAUUUAUAGAGAACAGAAUUUUAUUUGGCGCAUGUUCUAGAGACUGGAAAUCCAAGAGCAUGGUGCCAGCAUCUUCUCCAUAUCUGAUGAGGGUCUUCUUGUUGCAUCAUAACGUGGAGGAGGGCAUUGCAUGGUGAGACAGAGCAAGCAUGCUAGCUGGGGUCUCUUCUCCUUAUAAAGCCCCUAAUGCUAUCAAAGGAGCCCCACCCUCAUAGCCUUAUCUAAUCCUAAUUGACUCCCAAAGACCCCACCUGCAAAUACCAUCAAUAUGUCAAUUUAGGGGGUUAAUUUUCGAUACAUGAAUGUUUAGGGGACACAUUCAAACCACAGUAACACCUAAAGGAAUCUUCUAGAAACAUAAAUCAUAUCACAUCACUGCUCUUCUCAGAACCCUUUGAUGGCUCCCAUCUCAUUCAGAGUAAAGCCAAGUCCUUGCAAUGACGCAAGGCUGCAUUACAUUCAGAGUCCCUUGUGUUCACGCUUUAGGGCUGUGCUGCCUGCUUCACUCUCACUGGCCACAUGGCCAUUUAUGUUUAAAUAAAAUGAAAAGUGCGGUCCCUUAUUUGCACCAGCCACAUUUCAUAUGCUCAACAGCCACAGGCAGCCAGAGGCUAUUGUAUUGGCCAGCAGGGCAGAGAACAUUUCCACCAUCAUGGAAAGUUCUAUCUCACCAGUGCUGCUUUGGAGAGCUUUCCAAGAUACCCACAUGGCAAACUCCCUCAAACUCCAGAGUCAUUGCCCAAAUGCCAUUGUCUACAUGAGGCCCACUCUGACCACCCAGUUUAAAGUCUCAGCCCACAUCCCACUCUGUCAAGCACUCCUGCAUCCCUAACUCUGCUCAAUGUUUUUCUGUAGCUCUGAGCACCUUAGAGCAUAUGUUGCAAUGUAGUUAUUUGUUAUACUCAUUGAUUAUUGUCAGUUUCUCCCAUUAAAGUGUAUGCUCCAAGAGGAGGAUUUUUUUGUGCAUUUGUGAGUUUUGUCCACUGCUGUAUUCCCAGAUCUAAAACAGUGCCUGAC